UUAAAAUGAAAAUUUUAUGAAAUCGUGGCAAAAUAUAGCGUUUUUAUUACUCAAUCGCACCGGCUCCGCCCUCUCAUUGUCAAGAAAACCCUUGUUCCCGGUUAACGCAAAUAAAACGACCCUUUUCCACUCAUCAGCAAAACCGACUCACGAAAGGGUGGGUCUCUUUCAUUCUCCAAACCACUCCCGACUCCCGACUCCCGACUCCCGACUUUUUCCUGUUCAUAUUUCCACUUUCCCUUUUGCUUUGAAGUCUCUUCCCUGAGUCGGCCAUGGUUACUUCCAGUGAUGUUCAAGAGAUCGUCUCCAAGCUCUCCUCUGAUAAAGCCAAAGCCCGUGAAGAAGGAAUAAAGUUGUUGAAUAUGUGGUUAGAGGGAGAAAGAUCAAUCGGAUUUUGUAAAUUUAUUGGACAGAAUACUGCAAAGCUUAAACCAAACGAGAUUCCUCAGUCUGAAACAUGGCCAUUUCUUAUUAAAUUGCUCACACAGUGUCUAUCAUUGGAGAUAUCAACAAGCAAGCGGAGAUUACCUAAGUUAAUUUUUGCAAAAACUCUUCGAAUUGUCAUUCAACGUGCGGAAGAUACUAAGUUUCCGGGAAAUAUGCUUCCAUUGUUGUCUGUGGUUAAAACACUUUUUAGUCACAUGCUGGAUGUGUUAAACAAUGUUCCAAGCUUUCAAUCUGAAUAUGGGAUUAUAUUACGAAAUCUUUUGGCGGUCAGAGACUACCGAUUUCAUAUGAGGAAGAGCAUUUACUCUGGUUUUAUGGUUUUCUACAUGGAAAAGGUGGAAACAACCUUGUCUGAGAAAAAUAACUCUCAAUAUAGUCAGAAAGAGGAGAUCUUCCGCAGCAUCCUAACCCUUCAGUCUCUAUUAGAAAAUCCUCCUGGAGAUUUCCCGGAUAACCUUAGGGAAGACAUUGUGAAGGGGUUUGUUAAGAUAUUUUCUUAUAUAAGGGAUGAGGGAAAAGUUUCACGCAAGCUAAUUGAGUGUAUUAAUACAUACUUGUUGAAGGAUGGUCCAAAUUUGAGUUGUCAGUCCUUAGAGAUCCAUAAUGCGACACAGCAAUUUGUUUUUCGUUUUUGGCUGACGACACAUGAUAAGGGUCUUAAGGAUGCACUUGUUCUUUAUGCAAGGUUACAGCUAAAUUUAGUUAGAGGUGUAGUUGAUGGGAGUUUCUUGGUUGAACAACUCUUGGACGUCAUAUGUAAGGAACUAGAUCAGAGCAAUUUAUCUAUUCCUGUUACUUCUUGGAGUGAUGGAGCCAAGGAUGAUAAGUUUGGAACCUUGAGUAGUUCGCAACACAAUUUGGUGGAGCUUGCAGCACUCAUAUUGUAUCGGGCAUGUGUCAAUACAAGCAGAGCAACAUUGAAUGAAAAACGCGUUAAAAGAGAGAGUGCUGCUGCCUGUCUAAAGGAUGCACUUAUGAAAGGAAAAUGGUUAUGGCAUGUGUCAUUUUGUUAUCUCAUUCGUAAUUACUACACUCGCAUAAGUAAGGAUCUUUUUGUCUACUGGUUUGAAGGCAUUUGUGCAAGCUUUGAAAGAAUCUUGAAUGAUGCUAAUGUGGGGCAUGCUUAUGAUGGUUUGCUGUGGACUUUGCGGAGUCUGCAGGAACUCUCUUCCAUGUUGCUGCUUUCAGAUGCUCAAGUGGAGAUUUCGUUGAGCUCCUCUUUUACCUCAAAAGAGUUUGAUUGUGGUUGGCAAUUAAUAUGGAGCCAUCUUAUGCAUGGAUUGCCAACAUUUAGCAACGUAAUUCCAGUAGUGGAUGCUGCUCUGGCUCUCCUUGGAAGCAUUAUUGCAAAUGAUUUAACAAACUCAUGCGUUGUGCCUCAUGAUGUAUGGGAUCUUAGGUUAUUUAAAGGAAUGCCUUCACUGUGUUCUCUGUACUUCAUCGCAUGUUAUUUUUCUCAGAAGGGUUCUCAGGGUGACCUUCGGGACAUUUUACAUCUACGGAAGUAUCUUCUAAGAGCAACUUUGGGCUCUCUCAGCUGGAAUGAAUCGUCCUUACUGAAUAACCGUAUGGUAUUAUUGUUACCAGCAGCUGUUUAUGCUCUUUGUGCUGGUUGUGAGCCUUUUACCCAGUGUUACAAAGAAAUUCUCCGGUUACACUCUUUUGUGGAUGCUAUUGAGGUUGCAGAUGAUUGGAUCAAGAUUGAUGAAUAUGAUCACGAAAGGCAGCUUGAAAAUUUUGAAUGCUCUGUUGAAGUUGUUGCAAAUAUUGAUUUGGAUUCAAAUGUUCAGGUUUCCCCAUCUCACUUCCAUCAAAGUGUAAGUCUUCCUCGACAGUUGAGAGAGCCACUUAUGCAUGAAAUGGAGACCUAUAUUUUGGGAGUUUUAGCAGAUCACAAUGUUGAAAAGAAGCGUCUGUCUGAUGUCUUCUUCAUAUGUGCUUUACUGUGCAAUUUAAUAUAUGGAUUAUAUUUAACAAGGAAUAGAGAAGAAGUUUCACCAUUUCUCUCAAAAUUGGGCCACUAUUUGUUGGAAUUGCUGAAUGAUGCUAUUAAUGUAAUUCUUAAAAACAUAAAUGACUCCAGAUCUCUUGGAUCCUUGGGUUUUACCUCUGGCUUUAACCCAAAAACUGCUAUUGUUGCUUCAUUUAAAAGCUUUGUUCUUGGCCCCCUUUUCACACAAAGGAGAGAUGGAGAUGCUCCGGACACUGUACUUUAUGAUGCUAUAAAACAAUCCCUGCAGAGGCUUCUGAAGGCAUUUGCUAAACUGUAUGAUGAAUAUAUUGAAAGUGUAACUAACCAUCGGUCUGAGAUGUUCUCAUCAGAUUCUUCUGGAUCUGGUUCUUCUAUACAAAUUUCAAACCAUGUGGAUAGCAAUAAAAGUAGGAUCAUGGACAUGGAAUUGGAUGUGAAUGAGGAUGGUAAAGAUGUAGAUAUUCAGACAUCUAGUGGGAACAUUUCAACUUGUGGAUCUUUCUCUGCAAUGAAGUGGAAGUUGGGUAUGGUAUCACUAAUCUCAAGUUUUUUCUCUGUCGUCCACAAUCAAACAUGGGAUGUCCUACUGAAUCUCAUGGAAAAAGAACUUGACUUGAAGGUGUAUGAGAUAAUUUUGUGCAAUCUUUGUCGCCAUCUCGACUCAUUAUCUUCUUCAAAACUGACAGAUCUGGUCAAUUUAAUAAAAAACAGGACAAGAAUGCAAGUUAGUCUGAAGCUUGAUAGUUUUAAUGUUCUAGCUGCUAUUGGUUGUUUGCUUGAUACCCUACUAUCUUUAGAAGUUGGAAAGGAUAAACAUGGUGCCAUAGCUUUGGAAGAAAGAGAAGCUAAACAGUCCUUGACAUAUCUCGGGGAGCUGGCCAGCAAAGUCGCAGAAUUUGAACUUCUUGAUUGGUUUGGUCGCAUCAAACUAAUUGACUGCAUAUGCAAUUUUAUUUUACUCAGUCCCGUGAUCGGCCAGCCGCUAUAUGGGGCAUUUUUGCUGUUUCAUAACUAUUUACAGACAAUGAUUGAAAAGCUGCUUUGCAUGCUCCAAGAUCCUGAUUAUCGAGUUAGGUUCUUUCUAAGUAGACGAAUUGGUGUUCUAUUCCAGACCUGGGAUGGACAUGGAGAGCUCUUUCAUGAUAUUUGUUCCAACUUUGGCAUGGAGUUGGUGUAUUACUCCAAAGAAAAACUUGUUACAGCUAGGGAAGUCCUUGCCGCUGGUCCACAGCCUCGCUCAAAAGUUGAAACUGUCAUUAUUACCCUUAUGCAGCUUGCUUUGCAUAGUGAGAAAAUUGAAUUAGAGGCUGUUUUCAUGAUGUGUGCAGUUUCUGCCAUUGAUUCUUGUCAGAGGGAAUUAGUAACUGCAGCAUUUGAUAAUCUAUCGAGAAAGCUACAGUAUAUUUCAAGAAUGAAGUACUUGGAAGAACUUAUUGGAUCUAUUCUAUUCUGCUGGGUUGCUUGUGGUGUCAGCAUAGCUGCUCUUGUUGAGAUACGACAACUUUUUGUAUCAGAUACUGAACCUAGUUAUUUCUUGCAAUAUUGUUUCCGUUGGCUUCUUCCAGCUCUACUUAUCCAUGAGAACAACUCUAACCUCAAUUGGGUUGCUAAGAUUGCAGGGCAACCUUUGUCUGUUAUUGUUAUGGAUCAUUUUGUGCCAAUUUUUUCAGUUUGUAUGACACUGUAUUGCAGUAAGAGCUCUGGUUUUGAGAAGGGAACAAUGGUGCUUCAGAAUUCUAUUUUGCAUUUGGCUGAGAUUUCUGAGAAUGAAAGAGAUAAACUUAUCAAGAAAAAUAUGGUGUCUAUCGUCGGCCAUAUUCUUUCUCUUGCAUCCUGUGCAUCAGAUCCUUUAAUUCCUUUUUUCUCCAGGGAUACUGUUGCAUGCGCAAUUCAAACAGUAGUUGAUGGAUUCUUGGAAAUGGAUGAUUGCUGUGCAAGUAGUAGUGUUAUUGACAAGAUUAACAUUUUUCGCCCGAACAGAGCUUUCAUGUUUAUCAUAGAAAUGCAUUACAAAAUUGCGGCGGCAAUUCAUCACAGGCAUAGAUGUCAUCGGUUAGCUUCAGUAGAGGUGCUUAUAAUUAUUCUUGGACAUAGAGCUGCCCUUUCAAGUACUUCUAAUUAUCUUUUCAAUUUGAUCGGGCAAUUUAUUGGUUGUCAUGCUUUACAAGAUCAAUGCUGUCGUAUAAUUUCUGCCUUACUCAAAACUUUUAAAAGCAACCCAUCUAAGGAAAUUGUUGGUGUGCUUGGUGAACAACUCCAGUUUUUGGUAUCAAAGUUAGUAGCGUGUUGCAUUCCUCUUGAAGCUGAUGGGCAACCUUCUGCAUCUGUAUCAUCUCAAGUUUUAUCUUUGCUCCUUGAGCUAACUGUGGAUUCGGAUCCAUUGCUUUAUGAUUAUAUAAGAGAAUUGGAACCCUUUCCUGAAAUAGAUAUUUUUGAAGGAAUAAGAAACUUCCACCAGGAUUUGUGCCGAGCGUACUCUCCAAGAGACCAUUUAUUGAAGUUUGUGAAGAGAUCUUGCUACCUUCCGCCGAGGUUACUUUCAUGGAGUCUACAAGCACUGCACAAGAAGCUACUUGCAGGGGAAACAUUUCAGGCGGGAAAGAGUGCUAAAGAACUUGUGGAUGAUACAUAUUGGUAUGGUGACAGUGAAAUUGUCCAUGCAGUUUGGACACUUGUUCGCAUGUGUUCCUCUGAUGACACAAGCAUGAUUAGAGGAUUGGUGUCUGAUUUCAUAUCCAGGGUUGGCAUUGGAGAUCCACACUCUGUUGUUUUUCAUCUACCUGGAGACUCUAACAAUAUGCAUGUUUGUGGACCCAUUAGUCAUAGUGGUUCUUCUGAAAUAAUUUUUUCUAUGGAUACUGGCAUAUCUGAAGAACUUCUAAUUGCACUUUUGAAAGUUUUGAAGAAAUACUUAAUGGAUGAUUCUGUUAAAAUAGUUGAUAUAACAUCACAAACUCUUCAGGGAAUACUGUCAACUGAAAGGGGUCAAAAAGCUAUGUUAUCAUUUGAUUCUUAUGAAAGAUCUCUGAUUGAAGUUCAUUCUAGGGGCAUUAACUUUGAGUUGGUGGAAAAGUUGUUGAUGGAUCUAGAAAGGAAGUUUAAAGUUAUUACAGCUGAAGACAUUUUUCUGGAGAAGUCUACCACUUGGGUGACGCAUGGUAAAACAUUUGAAAUGUGGAUAUGUCCACUUGUUUACUCAUUGGUUGGCUACUGCAAUGAUGUGAUCCUAAGAUUAUGUCAGGAUAUUGUACUGCUGAAACCUGAGGUUGCUGAGCUUCUGUUGCCCAGUAUUGUUGUCAAUUUAGCUGGAAGAAAGGAUAUUGAUGUGGAUAUUCAGAAGUUGAUUUCUUGUCAGGUUCAGGAGCAUAUAUUUGUGGAGUCUAAUAAGUUGAUAAAGUCUAUUCAAGUUUGGCUUAAUGCCCUUAAUGAACUUCGAUUUUGUUAUGUUCUGGAAAGAUCUUCAGGGCCAUUAAAAAAGGAAAAAAAGGAAAGUUCUAAGCAUGCUAAGCCCUCUAGUUAUAGCUCAAGAUCCCUUUUCUCCAUGAAAACUAGGGAUUCAGCAGCUACAUUGAGUGCAAUGGCCAUGUCAACGUCUUCAUGGAACAAGGUGUAUUGGCUUUCUAUUGAUUAUCUCGUUGCUGCUAGGUCAGCGAUUAUUUGUGGCUCGUACUUUACAUCCAUGAUGUAUGUGGAGUAUUGGUGUGAAGAACAUUUUCAUAGCCUCACCCUUGGGAACCCUGAUUUUUCCAAUCUUGAGAUGUUACCACAGCACAUUGAAAUUCUUAUCUUGGCAAUCACUCAAAUCAAUGAACCGGACAGCUUAUAUGGGAUUAUCCAGUCACACACACUGACCUCCCAAAUAAUUACCUUCGAGCAUGAAGGAAACUGGAACAAGGCCCUUGAAUAUUAUGACUUACAAGUGCGCUUGGAAGCCACAGCUCAUGUGGAUGGCAGUUCUAGAACUUUGUCAUUGGCAGAGAUCCAAUCGUUAUCUCAUUCUUCCCUUUCCACAUUGGAAGAUGAGACAAACAGGAAACCUUACAAAGGGCUGAUUAGAUCUUUGCAGCAAAUUGGUUGUAGGCAUGUGCUGGAUCUGUAUUGCCAGGGAUUAACUUCUGGGAGGGGUCAGUUUCAGCAGGAUUUAGAGUUCACAGAAUUGCAGUAUGAGGCCGCUUGGCGUGCAGGAAACUGGGAUUUCUCUUUACUUUAUACAGGAGCGAGUUCUCAUUCUACAGGUCAACAUCCUAAAACUCAUCAUUUCAACGAAAAUUUGCAUAGUUGUCUGAGAGCAUUGCAGGAGGGAGAUUCUGAUGAAUUUCAGAGAAAGUUGAAGCAUUCAAAAGAGGAGCUUGUUUGGUCUGUUUCUCAUGCAAGUGAGGAAAGCACGGAGUUUAUCUACUCAACAAUAAUAAAGUUUCAGAUCCUGUAUCAUCUUGGUAUAGCAUGGGAAAUACGCUGGCCAACAUCUUCAUAUGAAAGAAUAAAACUCCAGAAACAUAAGAAGAAAAUGUUUUCAGAUCCUAUAAUCCCUACAAUGGAUCAGUUGUUGUGGCUGAAUAAGGACUGGAGCUCCAUGUUGACAAAAUCACAGUUACAUAUGAGUUUAUUAGAGCCAUUUAUUGCAUUUAGGCGAGUUCUACUUCAAAUCUUGAAUUGUGACAACUGUACAAUGCAACAUCUUUUGCAGUCUGCUUCCACUCUUCGUAAGGGCUCUCGAUUUUCUCAAGCUGCUGCAGCUUUGCAUGAAUUUAAGUUUCUUUGUGUGGGAACUGGAGAACAGGGUUCAACUCCAUAUUGGCUUGGAAGGCUUGAGGAAGCAAAGCUGUUGCGUGCUCAAGGUCAGCAUGAAAUGGCUAUCGGCCUUGGAAAAUAUAUCUUGCAAACUUAUCAGUUGAAUGAAGAAGCAUCAGAUGUAUAUCGAUUGGUCGGGAAGUGGCUGGCAGAAACUAGAUCUAGCAGCUCAAGAACUAUUUUCGAGAAGUAUCUAAAACCUGCAGUGUCACUUGCUGAGGGUCACAAGACUGCUGACAAGAAGACUGCAGAAAGACAAAGUCAGACUCAUUUCCACCUUGCACAUUAUGCAGAUGCACUGUUUAGAAGUUACGAGGACAGACUUAAUUCCAAUGAAUGGCAAGCAGCAAUGCAUUUAAGAAAACAUAAGAAAUUAGAACUAGAAGCCCUUUUUCGGCGGCUAAAAGGUUCAACAGAGGGGGACAAAAUUGACUACUCGGUGAAAAUACAAGAGUUGAAAAAGCAGCUUGCAAUGGAUGAGGAAGAAGCACAAAAAUUGCAGGAUGACAGGGACAAUUUUCUCAGCCUAGCUUUGGAGGGAUAUAAAUGUUGCUUGGUCAUAGGUGACAAAUAUGACGUAAGAGUGGUGUUUCGACUUGUAUCAUUGUGGUUCAGUCUUUCAUCUAGCCAAGAUGUCGUCAAUAACUUGCUUAAAACAAUUGAUGAGGUUCAGACUUAUAAAUUUGUUCCACUGGUUUACCAAAUUGCUUCAAGGAUGGGAAGCCUAAAUGGAAUUGUGCCUAAUAAUUUUCAGUUUGCCUUGGUGUCUCUUGUGAAGAAAAUGGCCAUUGAUCAUCCGUACCAUACAAUCUUCCAGCUUCUAGCUCUUGCAAAUGGUGAUCGUAUCAAGGACAAACAGCGUAGCAGGAACUCUUUUGUUGUGGAUGUGGAUAAAAAGCUUGCAGCAGAAAACCUCUUAGGGGAAUUAUCAGCAUAUCAUGGGCCUGUUAUCAGACAGAUGAAACAAAUGGUGGAGAUCUAUAUCAAGCUUGCAGAACUUGAGACCAAGAGAGAGGACACCAGUAGAAAGUUACCACUGCCGAGAGAAAUUCGCAGUGUACGACAGCUGGAACUUGUACCUGUAUUGACAGCCAGCUUUCCAGUUGACCAUAGCUGUCAAUACCGUGAAGGCUCUUUUCCAUUCUUCAGAGGAUUGGCAGACUCGGUUAUGGUAAUGAAUGGUGUAAAUGUUCCAAAAGUGGUUGAAUGCCUGGGUUCUGAUGGUCGCAAAUACAAGCAGCUAGCAAAAUCUGGGAAUGAUGACCUAAGACAAGAUGCUGUUAUGGAACAAUUUUUUGGACUAGUCAAUACUUUCCUACAGAAUCAUCGUGAUACAUGGAAAAGGAGAUUAGUCAUACGUACAUACAAGGAGAUUUUGGAGACUCAAGAUGACUAGUUGACUUGGAAGAAGAAGAAUAAUUUUUUGAAAUGGGAAUUUGAAUUGGCGGACGAGUAGAGGAAGGAUCAGAUGAUGGCUCAAUCUCCCAAAGUUGAUAUUCCCUAGAACUCUCCCCCUGAAUAUUGGCUUUAGGAUAGAAUGGUUGAUUCUCAAAGAAGGUGACAUCCAUAGAGUGUAAAACUUUUUGGUAGUUGGUGAAUAACAUCAGUAGCCUUUUCGGUUAGGUGAGUAGCCAAGAAAUAUACACUUGAGUGAUCUAGGGUCUACUUGACUGCGUUGUUGUUGGUGUAUAUGAACAAAGGUAGUACAUCCAAACACCUUGAUUGGUAUGGAGGAAAUGAUUUGGACAUGAUGGUAGGUUUUGAGAAGUGUUUGAUAGGAGGUUUGGAAUUGUAGUACUCGAGAAGGCAUCCUAUUGAUAAGAAAGGCUAUUGUUAGGAUUGCCUUUCCCCAUAAAUGUUUCGGGACAUUAAAGGCUAGUAUAAUAGAUCUUGCAACUUCGAUCAAGUGUUUGUUCUUCCGCUUGUUAACUCCAUUUUGUUGAGUUUUAGUACAUGAGCUCUAAUGAAUAAUUCUUUGAUUUAAAUCCAAGAAUUGAGCGAUAGUAUUCUUGCCCGUUAUCUGUUUUGAGCAACUAAAUUUUUGCUUGAAAUUGAGUGCACCAUCUUAUGGAAAUUUUGAAAUAUUGAACUAACCUCUGACUUGUCUUUCAUGAGGAAUAGUCAUGUAACUCUAGUGUUAUCAUCAAUUAAGGUAACAAACCAUCUACAAACUGUAAUAUUGUUAGCCCUCGAUGGUCCCCAAACAUCACUAUGGAUCAUAGAAAAAUGAUGAGUUGAUUUGUAUGGUUGACUUGGAUAUGAAUUGCGAGUGUGUUUGGAAAAUUGACAAAUUUCACAUUGAUAAGACUUGGAACCUUUAUUGAAUAAAUCAGGGAACAAUUUUUUGAGGUACAAGAAAUUUGGAUGUCCUAAACGAUAGUGCCAUAACAUGAUUGUAUUUUCUUUACUUUUACUAGAAUAGCACACAUCCUAGUAUUGCCAAUCUUCUUCUCUGAAUCCAAACCUUGAAAUUCACAUAUGUUGGAAAGAAUUUUAGUAGGACAAUUAAGAUAUCUCGUAAUUUUACUAAUAGAUAGAAGGUUGCAAUCUAAAUUAAGGACAUGUAGAACAUAGUUAAAUGUUAUGUCCUUUGAAAUAAUGACUAAACCUACCCCGGUUACCCGAGAGAGUUACCGAUCUGCUAUUUGAGCUGAGGUUUUCAGAACAUAGGCUGUAUUCAUGGAACACUGAUGCAUCACCAAUCAUGUGGUCUGAUGCACUUGAAUCAACAAUCCAAGAUCUUGUUUUUCCACUUUGCACAAGUAGAACAUUGAGAGAGUUACCUUUUUGUGCAACAAACGCUGUGCUUACAAUUGACCCAGUGUUCUGAAGAGAUUGCUAAACAAUUUUUUGAAGGACUUCUAACUGCUCUUUACUGAAUGGGCUUGAUUUUGGGGGUGUUGGAGUUGUCUCGGUGGUGGCAAAAUUUCAUGACUCUCGAUUUCGAGUAGAACGUGGUUUGUAGUUAGCAAGUUUCCCAUGGAUUUGCCAACAAUUUUCCUCUGUGUCCUACCUUUUGACAGUGGUCACACCAAGGUCUGUUACCUUUCUUCUGUGGAUUUUCACGAAGGACCUAUUUUCUGCUGAUUUUCACCACCUUGGUAGGAUUUUGGUCCUUGUGUAGCAAGGGUUGAAUUUUCUCUCUUGUGGAUUGCAUGAUGUCCCUAGCAUCACCUUCCUUCUACUCUCUUCACAGCGGACCUAAGAGAAAACUUCUCGAAUGCUGGGUAAUGGCUUGAUGCUAAGAAAUCUUCCACGAACAUCAUCAAGGCUCUUGUUUAGACCAAGUAGAAACUUAUAAACUUGGUCCUUCUCUACUAUUUUCCUGUAUUGCUAGCUAUUGUCAGGGCACUUCAAUGUUAUUUCUUCAAAGAUAUCUAAUUGCUAUUAAUAAUGAGUUAAGGAAUUAAAAUAUUUUGUGAUAAAGGAGUCUCGUUGCCCGCAGAUCAUGUAGAGUGCUUUUGAUCUUGAAUAUUGCAGACGCAUUGUCUACGUUGGAGUAGGUUUCUUUCGUAGCAUCCCAAAUCUCUUUGGCAGUUUUGUAGUACAUGAAAUUCUCACCAAUCUCGUUGGUCAUAGAAUUGAUCAACCACCACAUUAUCAUGCUAUUUUCCAACUUCCAGGUUGUUCCUUUCACUCCAAGUGCUGGUGUU